CAAUGGGGUUAUCCAUCAUGAAAACUUUUCAAAUUUUGCUUUGCACUAAUCAGCAUGGUUGUGGUUCAAAUCGAUGCUGCUGCACGUAGUGGUCUGACGUACAUCCAUCCAUGGGUCAUUGGUCCUUGUAAAAGGCCUAGCGAACCGCACUUGGGGUGUCAUCCAAAUCCAAAAAGUGCUCUCACGCAAGCUAAUACCUACAACCGUGGCUGCUCGAGACACCAUAGAAGUCCUCAAUGAGGAAUGACGAUGUGGAGAAAAAAUUGUGAAAAAAUGUAACUGAAAGCAUUGUUUGAUAAAGUACUGGUAAU
rnacentral:lncRNA from 1 species